rnacentral:rRNA from 1 species
AUUGAACGCUGGCGGCAGGCCUAACACAUGCAAGUCGAACGAGUGGCGGACGGGUGAGUAAUGUCUGGGAAACUGCCUGAUGGAGGGGGAUAACUACUGGAAACGGUAGCUAAUACCGCAUAACAUCAGAUGAACCCAUAUGGGAUUAGCUAGUUGGUGGGGUAACGGCUCACAAAGGCUACGAUCCCUAGCUGUUCUGAGAGGAUGAACAGCCACACGUGAACUGAGACACGGUCCAGACUCCUACGGGAGGCAGCAGUGGGGAAUAUUGCACAAUGGGCGCAAGCCUGAUGCAGCCAUGCCGCGUGUAUGAAGAAGGGCUUCGGGUUGUAAAGUACUUUCAGCGGGGAGGCGUUACUCGCAGAAGAAGCACCGGCUAACUCCGUGCCAGCAGCCGCGGUAAUUC